GAGGGGAAAGAGGAAAACAGUGAUGAGCUUGCACACACAAAAAAGAAAAGCUAAAUGAGUUAUUAUGUUUUUGGCAUGUUCAGCAUCUGUCAGGCAGGCAACCAACUGCAAUGGGUGAGAAAAAGGUGAAUGCAAGAAAGAGAGAGAAGUGGGGAAGGCAGAAAGAGAGAGGAGGUGAUGUUAAAGGGAGGAGGAAUGGGGGAGAAAUGAGAGUGGGAGGUAAAGGCAGGAGCAGAGAAAGGGAGAAAAAAAGGGAGAAUGAGCACAUGUGGAAGUCAUUAGGGUUUGGGUCAGGAUGCAGUCGUUCUUCACGGUGCGUUUUUACGCAGAGAAGCGCUGGCAGAGAACCCUGAGGAGAGUCUGGUCGAGGUUAAGGGCGGUGCGGGGUGGAGGGGGCAGGUCGCUGAUAGGUAAAAGCCCCGGCUCAAACUCAAACUCGGGGUGUCGAAUCCACUGAGAACCCCGGGCUCAAACAGAUAAAGAGCGGAGAUCCUUACCGUUAACUUUACACUUCAGUCCCAGCCUACGCGUCUUAACUCGGCCUGUCUGUUUUCUUUUAUCUCAGCCACUCAAUAUUUUCUCUAUAUUUUCUCUUUCCAUUCCAGAGGGGCCCACUUCCUGCCUGAUUUUUUUUUCUUUUGGCUUUUUUUUUUUGUUUGAGGGAGGGAGAGAGAGAGCGAGAGAGAUUAAAUGACAGCCUGGCGUUAAAACUCAACAUCUGGUAGUGCUUAGCACACAGAGAUGCAGGGAAAGGAGGGAGAAGUUAAAGAGACGGCGGGGUGAAGGAGAAGGAUAAGAAGCCAAAAAGGAGAAGAAGAAAAAGAAGAAGAAGAAGAAAAAGAAGAAGUGAAUGGCUGAAGUAUCAGUGGAUGGAGGUGGGAAGUGAAGGAACACAGAAUAGAAGGUGCAUGGAAAGCACAAGUGAGGAUGUGUUGGAGAAAAAAACAAAAAUAUUUUAUUUGAUCAUCAAAACCUGCAGACACAGUUUUUUUUGUUCAAGAACUCAUUCCAGAGGACAUUUUCCUGAAAACUCUUGAUGGGAAGCAACUCAAUUGGGCCUCCUGGGCAACAUUGCCGCAUCAGAAAGGGCUGGCUGGAGGAGCUGCUGUGUGUCUGCCUAUCUACACUUGCUGUGCAGAAUGUCCUCCAACCUGUACAGCAGGCACAGACAGGCAGAGAGACGCCAGCCUGCCACGCAAAGGCCGGCAUGUGACCAAAUGCUGCAUCCUGUUGAUGCUGGCCUGUGGAUGCAAAUGAUGGUGGGCUAUAGCUGCUAAAGACAUUUGCUGUCGUUGGUCAUUCUUAAAAUAAAAAAAUACUGCUUUGAAGCAGUCAUUUACCCA